rnacentral:rRNA from 1 species
AGUGAACGCUGGCGGUAGGCCUAACACAUGCAAGUCGAACGACAGCACAUUAAGAGCUUGCUCUUACGGGUGGCGAGUGGCGGACGGGUGAGGAAUACAUCGGAAUCUACUUUUUCGUGGGGGAUAGCGUAGGGAAACUUACGCUAAUACCGCAUACGACCUACGGGUGAAAGCAGGGGAUCUUCGGACCUUGCGCGAUUGAAUGAGCCGAUGUCGGAUUAGCUAGUUGGCGGGGUAAAGGCCCACCAAGGCGACGAUCCGUAGCUGGUCUGAGAGGAUGAUGAGCCACACUGGAACUGAGACACGGUCCAGACUCCUACGGGAGGCAGCAGUGGGGAAUAUUGGACAAUGGGCGCAAGCCUGAUCCAGCCAUACCGCGUGGGUGAAGAAGGCCUUCGGGUUGUAAAGCCCUUUUGUUGGGAAAGAAAAGCAGCAGGUUAAUACCCCGCUGUUCUGACGGUACCCAAAGAAUAAGCACCGGCUAACUUCGUG